rnacentral:sRNA from 2 species
UGUGGGAUGCCGAAGUCGGGUCCUGCGCUUAUUCACUCGCUGAACCUCAGGAGAUUUUUAUGAGC